GGGAUUGCCUCAGUAACGGCGAGUGAAGCGGCAACAGCUCAAAUUUGAAAUCUGGCCCCCUCGGGGGGCCCGAGUUGUAAUUUGCAGAUUGUGCUUUUGGCGAGGCGCCUUCCGAGUUCCCUGGAACGGGACGCCACAGAGGGUGAGAGCCCCGUCUGGUCGGCCGCCGAGCCUCUGUAAAGCACCUUCGACGAGUCGAGUAGUUUGGGAAUGCUGCUCAAAAUGGGAGGUAUAUGUCUUCUAAAGCUAAAUACCGGCCAGAGACCGAUAGCGCACAAGUAGAGUGAUCGAAAGAUGAAAAGCACCUUGAAAAGGGGGUUAAACAGUACGUGAAAUUGUUGAAAGGGAAGCGCUCGCGACCAGACUUGGGCCCGGCGGAUCACCCAGCGUUCUCGCUGGGGCACUCCGCCUCGUCCCAGGCCAGCAUCGGUUCGCGCCGGGGGACAAAGGCGGCGGGAACGUGGCUCCCCCGGGAGUGUUAUAGCCCGCCGCGCAAUGCCCUGGGGCGGACCGAGGAUUCGCGCAUCUGCAUGGAUGCUGGCGUAAUGGUCACCAGCGACCCGUCUUGAAACACGGACCAAGGAGUCGUCUUCGUAUGCGAGUGUUCGGGUGUCAAACCCCUACGCGUAAUGAAAGUGAACGCAGGUGAGAGCUUCGGCGCAUCAUCGACCGAUCCUGAUGUUCUCGGAUGGAUUUGAGUAGGAGCAUACGGGGCCGGACCCGAAAGAAGGUGAACUAUGCCUGUGUAGGGUGAAGCCAGAGGAAACUCUGGUGGAGGCUCGCAGCGGUUCUGACGUGCAAAUCGAUCGUCAAACAUGGGCAUGGGGGCGAAAGACUAAUCGAACCUU
rnacentral:rRNA from 1 species